AUUAGUGGCUUUAAUAAGGUUAAAUGUAGAUUUAAUUCAUAUAGUUAAGACUAUGCAAUGUUUUAUUUUUACACCUCCAGUGAAACACUGGGGUCUAUAUUCAAGCCAUCCCUGUGCUCUCCUAGUCUACAAAGUAGCCACUGAAGUAGCGUCUGGCAGGUUCACGCUCAAACCACCCUCAUGCACUGGUAUUCAUCAAAUUCCAUUGAAAUCAGUCUCGUGGCCCAAGACAUCCUCUGAGGAAUUUACUGCAUGUUUCUUUUACAAGUGCUUUCAUCUUACCUGCAGACAAGAAGCAAAUCCUCCCAAUCCCUGCCCUUCUGUAAAAUCUUUCUUCCCUGGCAAAUUUUCCCAUAAUAUAAUCAGUGGAUGUAAUUUGUUGGUUUGUAAUGUUAAGAGAGACUGUAAUGAGUUAGCAAACGUGGAACACUUUACAGAUAAGAAACUUUUCCCUUUGGGACAUUUGUUUUUGUUCUUAGUUUAGUAUCUUUACGGAACUGUGAAUGAUCUUUAAG
ensembl:lncRNA